AAAUGUCGUAUAAUUUCAAAAAAAUCCCCCUUAGUCUACGAACUUGAAGACUGUAACGGUAAUAAUUUAGGAAUUUGGCACAUUAAGGAUUUAAAACUUAGAAAUUACGUUGAAUGAUGCUUCUAAAGAAUAAUAUCUAUAGAUACCUUGAGUACAUAAGUGUAGCGGAUUUGUACCUAGGUAAAAUCCUAUCCUUAAAAGGGGGGUAUGUAACACUCCGGCUACGACCCUUCCCCCGCGCAACUCGCGCACUCCCGCGCAGAGGGGAGUACGAGUGUGCAUAAGUAAUCGCGAUUCACGGCUGAGGUGGACGCGUUAAUUAUAAUCUUCCUACCAAAUACAUACAAAUUGAACUUGAUAAUAAUUAGUUCGUGUGAAGUCUUGUGCCCUUAGUAUAGUGCUAAAUAACCCCGGAUUGGGGUUUUUCCCACCUACUGCUGCGGAAUAAUACUUCGGCUGUCUUGUUGGUCCUCUACGUUCCAUCUACUCUCCGCAACAGUGCAAGUUAAGUGGUGUUAAGUGCCGGAUACGGGAAUCCUCUACUCUCCGCAACAGUGCAAGUUAAGUGGUGUUAAGUGCCGGAUACGGGAAUCCUAUGAGUGUGCGAGAACCCACCUAAAUUCUUAUAUAUUAAGUAAAUGGUAGAAAUCCUGUUGUGCCAAUAAAUAAUCUGUAAUACUAUCUAG